GCCACACUGGGACUGAGACACGGCCCAGACUCCUACGGGAGGCAGCAGUGGGGAAUAUUGCACAAUGGGCGGAAGCCUGAUGCAGCAACGCCGCGUGAGGGAUGACGGCCUUCGGGUUGUAAACCUCUUUUAGCAGGGAAGAAGCGAGAGUGACGGUACCUGCAGAAAAAGCGCCGGCUAACUACGUGCCAGCAGCCGCGGUAAUACGUAGGGCGCAAGCGUUAUCCGGAAUUAUUGGGCGUAAAGAGCUCGUAGGCGGUCUGUCGCGUCUGCUGUGAAAACUGGAGGCUCAACCUCCAGCCUGCAGUGGGUACGGGCAGACUAGAGUGCGGUAGGGGAGAUUGGAAUUCCUGGUGUAGCGGUGGAAUGCGCAGAUAUCAGGAGGAACACCGAUGGCGAAGGCAGAUCUCUGGGCCGUAACUGACGCUGAGGAGCGAAAGGGUGGGGAGCAAACAGGCUUAGAUACCCUGGUAGUCC
rnacentral:rRNA from 2 species